AAGCCUCUGCUAUUGUGUACAUAGUUUAUACUAAGUGACCCAUAGGUUGAGGAGGCGGUGACCGUGGCGGUGGAGGAGGAUGAGGUAGCCAACACUGUUUUUAUAUAUAUAUAUAUAUUUUAAUUGGAGUAGCUGUUUACAUUAUAGUUGCGCAGGAACUUUGUUGACUCUAGAGAACCUCGGGCAAAUCGCACAUCCCCGUGGCGGCAACUUUGCAUGCGGAUGUCAUCCAUAUCAACAUUCGAUGCCAGUUUCUGCGCCUAGCAUGGUGACCACGGGUAACGGGGAAUCAGGGUUCCAUUCCGUACAGGGACCCUGAGAAACGGCUACCACAUGCAAAGAAGGCA